GAUAUAUGCCUAAAUACCCUGAAGGCACCAGAUCCUGACUGAUCUUGGAAAAUAAGCAGGGUCAGUAUGGGUUAGUACUUGGGAGAGGAGACUGCCAAGGAAUAUAUGGAGAAUAUAUUU
rnacentral:rRNA from 11 species